CCAGGUACGAGUACUGGUACUGCUGCGGCAUCAUCAUGCUCGGUGCCUGGUGACCCUGGAACGGGUACUGCGGCAGGCCGGCCAUGGAGCCCAGGGAGUAGGCGUUGCUCAUGA
rnacentral:SRP_RNA from 13 species